UACGUAGGGGGCAAGCGUUGUCCGGAUUUAUUGGGCGUAAAGAGCUCGUAGGCGGUUGGGCAAGUCACGUGUGAAAUCUCCACGCUCAACGUGGAGGCGCCACGUGAGACUGCCCUGACUCGAGUCCGGUAGGGGAGCGUGGAAUUCCCGGUGUAGCGGUGAAAUGCGCAGAUAUCGGGAGGAACACCGGUGGCGAAGGCGGUUCUCUGGGCAUCUCCUGACGCUGAGGCGCGAAAGCGUGGGGAGCAAACGGG
rnacentral:rRNA from 1 species